UGAGUCAGUCCCUAGUGUGCCUGUUGUUCUAUCAAGAGCAUUGCAGGGUAGCUACACUGGUUCGGGAUAACCGCUGAAAGCAUCUAAGCGGGAAGCCCAUCCUAAGAUAAGGAAUCCCUAUAAACCCCUGGUAGACUACCAGGUUGAUAGGCAGCCGGUGCAAGAGCCGUAAGGCUUUAAGCCUAGCUGUACUAAUCGGUUGAUUGAAAU
rnacentral:rRNA from 1 species